rnacentral:rRNA from 1 species
UACGUGAGGUGCAAGCGUUGUUCGGAAUUAUUGGGCGUAAAGAGCACGUAGGCGGGAUGGUGUGUCGUCUGUGAAAUCCCAGGGCUCAACCCUGGAAUUGCAGGCGAAACUGCCGUUCUUGAAUACUUGAGAGGGUGGGGGAAUUCCUGGUGAAGCAGUGAAAUGCGUAGAUAUCAGGAGGAACAUCAGAGGCGAAGGCGCCUACCUGGCAAGAUAUUGACGCUGAGGUGCGAAAGCGUGGGUAGCAAACAGG